AUUGAACGCUGGCGGCAUGCCUUACACAUGCAAGUCGAACGGUAACGGGCCUUCGGGUGCCGACGAGUGGCGAACGGGUGAGUAAUGCAUCGGAACGUACCUUUCAGUGGGGGAUAACGUAGCGAAAGUUACGCUAAUACCGCAUAUUCUGUGAGCAGGAAAGCAGGGGAUCGCAAGACCUUGCGCUGAUUGAGCGGCCGAUGUCAGAUUAGCUAGUUGGUGAGGUAAAGGCUCACCAAGGCGACGAUCUGUAGCGGGUCUGAGAGGAUGAUCCGCCACACUGGGACUGAGACACGGACCAGACUCCUACGGGAGGCAGCAGUGGGGAAUUUUGGACAAUGGGGGCAACCCUGAUCCAGCCAUGCCGCGUGAGUGAAGAAGGCCUUCGGGUUGUAAAGCUCUUUCGGCCGGGAAGAAAUCGCACAGGCUAAUACCUUGUGUGGAUGACGGUACCGGAAUAAGAAGCACCGGCUAACUACGUGCCAGCCGCCGCGGUAAUAC
rnacentral:rRNA from 1 species